rnacentral:sRNA from 1 species
AGGAGGAGGAGGAAGAGGAGGAAGGAGGGCGAGCGAGGAGGAUGGCGGACUCGGGACUCCUGACGCAUUGUUUACAAUAACCAAGAUAUGAAAUCAACCUAUGUCUUCAUUGAUGGAGGAAUACACACAGAAAAUGUGACGUUCAGCCUUCAAAUCUAGGAAAUCCUGAUAUUGGUGACAUGAUCUGAUCUUGGCCCACUGCAACCUCUGCCUCCCAGGUUCAAGUGAUCCUUCCACCUCAACCUCCCAAGAACUCUAAUGAAUCAUUGAUUGACCAGCACUAUUUUACCAGUUGGAAUGAAUGAUCAGAAAUGGGCAUAGUGCUUUUAGAUCCAACAUGUAACGGAUGGAUGUUACUCCAUGCUGAUUACUUCUUCAAGCCAGUACUUUUUUGAUUGUGUAGGAUCUUUGUCUCUUCAUCUUUGAAUUCAAUUACUGGAAAAUAAAAGGAGUUCAUGUAGUUUUUGUCCAGGCUUGAGUCACCAUGAGUAGUAGUUUAGGAAAAGAAAAAGACUCUAAAGAAAAAGAUCCCAAAGUACCAUCAGCCAAGGAAAGAGAAAAGGAGGCAAAAGCCUCUGGAGGUUUUGGGAAAGAGAGCAAAGAAAAAGAACCUAAGACCAAAGGGAAAGAUGCCAAAGAUGGAAAGAAGG